UCCUACUUUCUUGGUUCUUCUUCAAA
rnacentral:piRNA from 1 species